UCCCUGAUAGCUUGGUCGGUAAAGAAUCUGCCUGCAAUGUAGGAGACCCUGGUUCGAUUCCUGGUGAGGAAG
rnacentral:tRNA from 1 species